rnacentral:rRNA from 1 species
GGGGAAUUUUGGACAAUGGGCGCAAGCCUGAUCCUGCCAUGCCGCGUGCAGGAUGAAGGCCCUCGGGUUGUAAACUGCUUUUGUACGGAACGAAAAGCCUCUUUCUAAUAAAGAGGGGUGAUGACGGUACCGUAAGAAUAAGCACCGGCUAACUACGUGCCAGCAGCCGCGGUAAUACGUAGGGUGCGAGCGUUAAUCGGAAUUACUGGGCGUAAAGCGUGCGCAGGCGGUCUUGCAAGACAGUGGUGAAAUCCCCGGGCUCAACCUGGGAACUGCCAUUGUGACUGCAAGGCUGGAGUACGGCAGAGGGGGAUGGAAUUCCGCGUGUAGCAGUGAAAUGCGUAGAUAUGCGGAGGAACACCGAUGGCGAAGGCAGUCCCCUGGGCCUGUACUGACGCUCAUGCACGAAAGCGUGGGGAGCAAACA